rnacentral:rRNA from 1 species
CACGUAGGGCGCAAGCGUUGUCCGGAAUUAUUGGGCGUAAAGAGCUCGUAGGCGGUCUGUUACGUCUGCUGUGAAAACCCAGGGCUUAACCCUGGGCUUGCAGUGGAUACGGGCAGACUAGAGGCAGGUAGGGGAGAAUGGAAUUCCCGGUGUAGCGGUGAAAUGCGCAGAUAUCAGGAGGAACACCGGUGGCGAAGGCGGAUCUCUGGGCCAUUACUGACGCUGAGGAGCGAAAGCGUGGGGAGCGAACCGG